UACGGAGGGUGCAAGCGUUAUCCGGAUUCACUGGGUUUAAAGGGUGCGUAGGUGGGUCUGUAAGUCAGUGGUGAAAUCUCCGUGCUUAACAUGGAAACUGCCAUUGAUACUAUAGGUCUUGAAUUUUCUGGAGGUAAGCGGAAUAUGUCAUGUAGCGGUGAAAUGCUUAGAUAUGACAUAGAACACCAAUUGCGAAGGCAGCUUGCUACAGGGAUAUUGACACUGAGGCACGAAAGCGUGGGGAUCAAACAGG
rnacentral:rRNA from 1 species